UGUGUAUGGGUAGGGAGUUCUAGAUGGAGGGGGCUGCAAUGGUGAAAGCUCUGUCACCCCAGGUACGGUGGUUGGUCCUGAGUGGUGGGGAGAGGAGGUUUGCAUCAGAGGAGCGGAGGUUACGGAGGGGGCGGGGGGGGUUGUGGCGGUGAAGCAGGUCUGUGCGGUAGGAAGGAGCCUGGUUAUGGAGGGCUUUGUGGGUGAGGAGGAGGACUUUAAACUGGAUGCGUUGGGAAACAGGGAGCCAGUGGAGGUUCUGAAGGACGGGAGUGAUGGGAUCACGGGAACGGGUGUGGGUGAGGAGACGGGCAGCAGAGUUUUGGAUAUAUUGGAGUUUAUUUAAGGCUUUUGCAGGUGAACCACAGAAGAUGCUGUUGCAGUAGUCAAUUCUGGAAGUGAUGAAGGAGGAUCAAACUUUCGGGGCAGAG